rfam:TPA: Bos taurus chromosome 21, whole genome shotgun sequence.
UCCCUGGUGGCUUAGAUGGUAAAGAAUCUGCCUGCAGUGUGGGAGACCCAGGUUCAAAUCCUGAGUCAGGAAA